CAGUGUCCCAAUAAAACUUUAUUUAUGGACACUGACAUUUGAAAUUCAUAUAAUUUUCACGAGUCGUGAAAUAUUCUUCUUUGGUCCUUUCCCCCCCGCCCCACCAAUCCUCUAAAAGUGUAAGAACUAUUCUCAGCUCAUGGGCCAUGCAAAAAUAGGCAGCUGGUUGGAUCUCACUUGUGGGCUGUGGUUUGCCAACCCUCCUUUAGAGCUGGUUCUGCUGUUUAUCAAGUGUGUAAUCUUGGAUAGGUUCCCUGGAUAAACCUCAGUGUCCUCAGCUACAAGACGCGAAAAGUAAGGAGGAGUUCCUCCGUCAGGGACUGGGGGAUGCGAUGGAGUAACUGUGAAGUGUUUAGCAUGAUACUUACGUAGAUCACUCUUGGGAGUGGGAGGUGUCAUGAUAAGAUGAUGCUGAGUCCCUUGAAGUUGUUUGUCCUCCCAAAAUAUACUGAUAGGGGGUGCUUGUCACUGUGUAACAACCUCAGCCUUUUUUGCACUUGGUGCUAGUGAAAAGUUGAGGGAAAAUCCAACCAUGCCCACAGGACAGAAAUACUUUUUUUUUUUUUAAACCAAAGAAAAGCCUUUUUACAAAAUAGCAACUCAUCAGGGAAAAGAAAUGUCCGAACUAAAUGAGAGCAGGCUGCACGUUGGACCUGCUGACAUGAAGCCAGGGCAAGGUGCUUCCCCACUCUGGCCUGCGUUUCCUCCUCUGCAUAAGGAGAAUUUUGGAUUUGGUCCUCUCCCGGGUCAGUCCACCUCUAACACUCUGUCAUGCCAGGUGAUAACCAAAAUAUCUAGAUCCAGCAUUCAUGUCUGCAAUGUUCUUGCUUUGCUAGCAAGGCCCCUGCCACCAAGAGGAGAUCACACGUUUUCUAGAUGUCCUUUUUUACCUCCCCACAGGGUCACUGGGGCUUCCCUGUAGGUGAGGUCCUUGGGCAAGUCUACCUCUCUACACCUCAGUUUCCUCAUCUGUGAAAUGGGGAUAAUAACAAUGGUCUCAACAGCACGGGGUUGAGGGGAAAACGAAAUAGGAUGCUAGGUGCAAAGUGCAUAGCAUGGGACAAGAACUUUGCCAAAGUCAACGAAGAGCUCAGUGUUCUGCAUUGGUGCCCGCCUCCAUGCUCAGGUCCUCAAGAGACCCGUGACGGUCUUCCCUUGAUCUUGGCUUUGGUGUUGGUGAUGGCGGUAAGGAAUCAUCUAGUAGCCAAGUAGGACCUUUUAUUCCUGAGGACUAAUGAGACUGUGAACUUUGUGAAUCCUCCACUCCUAGCAGCCAGAAGACUCAGCCCAGGCCAGAGGUCGUGGUCUGUGGGGCUCUGGUGGUCAGCAGAAGAGGCCAGGAUAGAGCGAGACGGACAAUGACCACGAGCACAGAAAGCUGCAGAGGAGCAGGAUCCAGAAGCAGAAGCUUGUGACUUGGCACCUGUUUCCGGAACCCACUAUGGCCCAACCUUCUCAGAAGAUUUUGCACCUUGAGCCAAAGAGGAUGCAGGGCUCUUGGGACCCAAGAGCCUGAGUAGGGCUUCUGCCCUCCCUCUCCGGCCUGAAGUUUCCCAUUCAUCAGCUGGAACCUUCACACCUGCCCAGAGGACUGCUGACUCGCACUGACGGUGGCCACAAGGUGUGACCUUUCAACAUGAUGAUCCUGGGGCGUGAGACUUAGUGGUGGCUGUCCCCAAGAGCACGCCUGGCAAGAGUACCAGCUGGAAACUGCAUGAGCUUUCUGGGAUGAGGCAUGUGGCCUUUCUUCCAUUGCCUUUUAUUGGUAACAAGUAAGUCACAAAGGCUGGCUCAGUCUCAGGAGGAGGGGACACAGACUCCCGCCUUUCUCAAAUAAUGUAUAGAUUUGUUUAGAACCAUCACAUGAAUCAGUGAGAUGUGUGCUCAGUGAUGGUCACUGGGUGGGGAGGAAGCAGUCGGAACACAGACAUGGUAGCUGGAGCUCAAGCAACCAUCUUGGACCAUGAGGACUCCACGGACAGACACCAGGAGCCAACAGCACUGCACAGACAAUAGUGACCAUGCACAGUGAGUAGAAUCUCAACCUGACACAGGUGAGUCCUAAGAGCUGAGGAGGCCUUGUGUUGCCCUGGGCAUCAAUACCAGUGGUCAGUGCUGGCUGGGUCUCCUCCCUGUCUAUGAGAGCUCUGUGAGCUGCCGACCACGGCAGCAGCUGACUUGGGAAGCACCAAGGGGCUGGUCCAGGGCAGAUGUGCCCAGGCAGGUGGAGGUGUCUGCUUGGGGCAGGGCCAGCCCUGGAGCUACACUGGCCCCUAGGUAGGCCAGGUCGAGUGAGCUGGUGUGAUCACCAGUGGGUUGCUUCUAACCAUUGACAUCUUGGAGAGGGAGGUUUUGAAGUCAACUUUGCUUUAUAGAAACCGGCCCAAUUGCAGGACAGCUUUCUGGAGGGUCCCAAAAGUUGUGGAAUUGCCUGAGGUCUGGGGAGUAUGGACCAGGGCAGGAGAAACUCAGGGACUUGUUCCAAAAGUCUUCCAAUUUCUCCCACAGCCGUCACCCCAACCACCACCUAGGAAACAGGAAACCACUCCCCAAAGAAGAGUCAACAGAUGGUUCAUGGAACAACAAACAUAGGAACACUUGCUAUUCAAUAUGGCACUGGGAGUUGGGCUUGGAUACGCUCCAGGAUCCUUGAGUGACAGCAGAAAUAUGUCUGCGGCUGCCUCAGGCCAUUCAAUAGUAAGCUCAGCUGGUUCCAGGACAAAUCCUGUAGGAGGGGAGCACUCUCAAUGCUUGGAGGCCCCAUGGGGGUUCCACCAGACGCUGCCCAGACCAUCUGCAGCCAGGACAGCAGAGGCGGGGGCCCAGCAGCUGGGAAAAUGACUGUGGAACUAUUUCCCAGAAAAGAAUAAUGGAAAAUGGGGCUUAUUAGUGGGGAAAAGUGAAGAUUAUGCAACUAAAGGACUGGAUUUUCCAUACGAAGGCUUCUCUCCCUGUCUCUCAUUCUUCAUCUUGCUUUGAUUGCGAACAAAGCCCUGUCUUUUUCUAGACUGAGCAAAUGGUUUGUCCUCAAUGCUUUCUUGGGAACACUUGGCCCAAAACUCACCUUGGAUGAGACCUGAGAACACAACAGCAGGGGAAAGGCUCUCGGCCCCGGGCAUUUUGCCUUCUUAGACACAAAAAGUGUGAGCAGACUCCAUCUUAGCAUGGCUUGGGUUGCAGAGGCCCCAUAAGAGAACCAUGCUCCAUGAACAUCCUCCUAAGUCCAAAAUCCUCUGAAAACCUAAAGUUUAAGAAAAUCUGACCCAACUCCAACUACGUGAGGCUCUUUCUAGUCUUUGUUUAUCCCACAUUGUGUGAAUAUACAUACCUUUUUGCUGCAGAAAUGUCAAUGUGUGUUUGUGUACAGGAGGCUGCCCUCAUGUGGGUACAAUGCCCCACAGUACCCUCUUUAAAAACCCCCAGAUUUGGAAUAUGAAAAACACCUGGUCCCAAGAGGAUCAGACCAGGAAUUGUGAAUCCAUAUCAGAAAAAUGCAUAUUCUUCUUGUCCUUCUCUCAUUCUUUCUUUGUCCUUUUUCUCUC